CAGUAGCCGCGGGAAUACAGAGGGUGCAAGCGUUAAUCGGAAUCACUGGGCGUAAAGCGCGCGUAGGUGGUUUGUUAAGUUGGAUGUGAAAUCCCCGGGCUCAACCUGGGAACUGCAUCCAAAACUGGCAGGCUAGAGUAGGGCAGAGGGUGGUGGAAUUUCCUGUGUAGCGGUGAAAUGCGUAGAUAUAGGAAGGAACACCAGUGGCGAAGGCGACCACCUGUGCUCAUACUGACACUGAGGUGCGAGAGCGUGGGGAGCAAACAGGAUUAGAUACCCCCGUAGUCCCUGUCUCUUAUAC
rnacentral:rRNA from 1 species